CCUACGGGGGGCAGCAGUGGGGGAUAUUGCACAAUGGGGGGAACCCUGAUGCAGCGACGCCGCGUGGGUGAAGAAGCGCCUCGUCGCGUAAAGCUCUAUCAGCAGGGAAGAAAAUGACGGUACCUGACUAAGAAGCCCCGGCUAACUACGUGCCAGCAGCCGCGGUAAUACGUAGGGGGCAAGCGUUAUCCGGAUUUACUGGGUGUAAAGGGAGCGUAGACGGCCAGACAAGUCAGAAGUGAAAGCCCAGGGCUCAACCCUGGGACUGCUUUUGAAACUGCCGGGCUGGAGUGCAGGAGAGGGAA
rnacentral:rRNA from 1 species